GCCAGACUCCUACGGGAGGCAGCAGUGGGGGAUAUUGCACAAUGGGGGGAACCCUGAUGCAGCGACGCCGCGUGGGUGAAGGAGCGUUUCGGCGCGUAAAGCCCUAUCGGCAGGGAAGAAGGAGGACGGUACCUGACUAAGAAGCCCCGGCUAACUACGUGCCAGCAGCCGCGGUAAUACGCAGGGGGCAAGCGUUAUCCGGAUUUACUGGGUGUAAAGGGGGCGCAGACGGCAGCGCAAGCCAGGAGUGAAAGCCCGGGGCCCAACCCCGGGACUGCUCUUGGAACUGCGCGGCUGGAGUGCAGGAGGGGCAGGCGGAAUUCCUGGUGUAGCGGUGAAAUGCGUAGAUAUCAGGAGGAACACCGGUGGCGAAGGCGGCCUGCUGGACUGCGACUGACGUUGAGGCCCGAAAGCGUGGGGAGCAAACAGGAUUAGAUACCCCCGUAAC
rnacentral:rRNA from 1 species